GCCUGGCUGGCUCAGUAGGUGUGAGCACGUGGCUUUAGAUGUCUGGGCUGUGGGUUCGAGCCCCACGUUGGGUG
rnacentral:tRNA from 1 species